rnacentral:lncRNA from 1 species
UUCUUUCUUACAUGGAAGGUGGUUUGGAUCAAAUCAAAGAGGAAUAAGUUUGGAUUUCGAAUUCUAUGAGAUAGAGUUUUAGAAAUCCAAAACUCUUUCAAUUUUGCACCAAAUUUAUCCAAAUUUUUUUUAAAAAUUUUUAUGGCUUUUAGGGUACACAUUGUGCACCCUUUUCUGGUGAUCCAUAUAUGAAAAUAAGGAGGAGGUGCUCAAGAGUUGGGCGCCCCUUAUCUUGCCAUGUUUGGAUAAGCCUUGACUAGGUAUUUGACCUAGACAAGGACUCUAUCAUAUCUCUAUGUAUAAAAUGAGUUUCUUAAUGAAAUUUUUGAAGAGGAUAGAGAUUUGAGAUACCUUUGGGCCAUCCAAAAAUGAGAGAGAAAAACCUUUGGGUCGUGGAGAUAUAAUAGACACAAGAUAGGGUGUCUAGAUAGAAAAAUGAGAAGAAGAAGAGGGUCUUCUUCUAGGGUUGCUUGUUUUCAUAUCUUUCCUCCCUCCAUCUUGAGUUUCCUGAGAGCGUCUCAGAUCUGAAACUCCUCCUCCUACUUUUCAUCUUUGGAAGAGUCCAAAUCAAGAAGAAGGAGGCACCUGAUCAACUAUCAAAAAAGGAUCAGCGCAGUACUAGCAUACUGUGCUGAUUUCCUAAAGCAGGACUUCUGAUCGAGAUUCGUGGGCUCGUGUGGAUGACUCCUAGAGGCCGGAUGCGUGUGUGGCUUACAACAUCAUCCUCAAGCUCGGAUCAGUGAGGUUAGAAUGUCUAACUUGCAAGGUAAUAGAUCUGAUCUAUUGUUUAAUACAUACAUUAGAUGUAGUAUAGAAACAUGUUGAUAUGAUCAACAUGUAGUUCAUGCUGUAUAUAUAUUUUUUAAUUUCUAAUUUAAUGCUAUAUAAUAAUCAUGUAAUAGGAUCUUAGAUUUAGGGAUUAUCUAAUUUUAGAAAAUAAAUUUUGAUUUAUUUUAGUCUUCCACUGUAUGAUCUUGAAAAAAUUUCAAGAUCUAACCCUGAAACCCU